CAAAAUCACUUUGUCAAUGGUUGUCGCUUGCCACUUGUCAUUACGUAUGAAAUGGAGAGAAACACUGAAAGAAACAUCAUCUUUAGUUGACGUUUCAUUUCUUCAACUGGCACACUGAGAGGAGGCCCUGGGUAUUGUGACUGUUCAUAUUGUAUGGUAUGAAUCAGAUAGCCAAAAUUUUCAUUAAGCACACUUUUCAGCAGCUUUGCAUACCUUGAGUUGAAGGGGAGAAAAAUUUUGCUUUAAAACUACAAUGAAUUGGAAAACUUACAUCAUUAUUUUUUACUUGUCUCUAUCUUCAGCCAAUAGAGCAACUAGAGACCCACGGUCCCAUAUUCCAUCAAACUUGCCACACAUUUCUGGAUUCAAGGCAAAUAAAUCACAGUAAUAGAUUUUAAGGCGCCCGUCAUCAUUCUAGGAAGAACAAAAUAAUGUAGGUUACACCUUGCUCUUUGAAAAAUUCCAAGAUUGGUUUUUCUACUCCAUCUACUCCAACAACUUCAUGUCCUAGGUCAUAAAGCCUAAUUUAAAAACAAAUGUUUUUAGAAACUCAUUAACUUCGGUUUUGUGCCAAGGUGCGUCUUCGGCUUGCCACCUUUUCGACCAAUAUUCGACACGUUCUUCCAUCUCGAAAAUUUGCUUGUGAAUGCCGAACAAGCGCUGUGUCUCAGCGUGAAUUCGGGUAGAAUAGAGGAGUUCCGUCGCUUACGGGCGAAGUACCCAAAAACUCAGAAAGGUUCCGUUUUGGGGGAUGAGAGAAGCCUGGAGGUAUGGGGAGUAAAUUUGGUGCUAGACUGAAAAAACCUCUUUUCUAUUCUUUCUACCAUGUUACAGUACAAUUAUUAUGGAGGUGGACAUCAUAGCUCACGUUAUUUAAAGUCAAUGUUCGCAUUGCUAUUGCGUCCCAUAGUUUGAGGCGCAAUAGGUGUAACCGUGAUAUUAUGCCUCCAUAUUUACCGUUAUUUAGCAGAAAUGGAAAUAAAAGAAGGAAAAAUUA